GGAGGGAUCAUUACUGAGUGAGGGCCUUCGGGCUCGACCUCCAACCCUUUGUGAACACAACUUGUUGCUUCGGGGGCGACCCUGCCGUUUCGACGGCGAGCGCCCCCGGAGGCCUUCAAACACUGCAUCUUUGCGUCGGAGUUUAAGUAAAUUAAACAAAACUUUCAACAACGGAUCUCUUGGUUCUGGCAUCGAUGAAGAACGCAGCGAAAUGCGAUAAGUAAUGUGAAUUGCAGAAUUCAGUGAAUCAUCGAAUCUUUGAACGCACAUUGCGCCCCUUGGUAUUCCGAGGGGCAUGCCUGUUCGAGCGUCAUUUCACCACUCAAGCCUCGCUUGGUAUUGGGCGCCGCGGUGUUCCGCGCGCCUCAAAGUCUCCGGCUGAGCUGUCCGUCUCUAAGCGUUGUGAUUUCAUUAAUCGCUUCGGAGCGCGGGCGGUCGCGGCCGUUAAAUCUUUCACAAGGUUGACCUCGGAUCAGGUAGGGAUACCCGCUGAACUUAAGCA
rnacentral:rRNA from 1 species